rnacentral:rRNA from 1 species
UUAGAUCGUACACACAUUUACUUGGAUAACUGUGGUAAUUCUAGAGCUAAUACAUGCAAACAGAGCCCCGACCGGAGACGGAAGGGGCGCUUUUAUUAGAUCAAAACCGAUCGGUGUUGGAUUUAUCCUUCAUCGUACAAUUUGGUGACUCUGAAUAACUUUAAGCUGAUCGCACGGUCUUGCACCGGCGACGCAUCUUUCAAAUGUCUGCCUUAUCAACUGUCGAUGGUAGGUUCUGCGCCUACCAUGGUUGUAACGGGUAACGGGGAAUCAGGGUUCGAUUCCGGAGAGGGAGCCUGAGAAACGGCUACCACAUCCAAGGAAGGCAGCAGGCGCGCAAAUUACCCACUCCCGGCACGGGGAGGUAGUGACGAAAAAUAACGAUACGGGACUCAUCCGAGGCCCCGUAAUCGGAAUGAGUACACUCUAAAUCCUUUAACGAGGAUCAAUUGGAGGGCAAGUCUGGUGCCAGCAGCCGCGGUAAUUCCAGCUCCAAUAGCGUAUAUUAAAGUUGUUGCGGUUAAAAAGCUCGUAGUCGAAUCUGUGUCACGCGCCGCCGGUUCAUCGUUCGCGGUGUCAACUGGCGUGCCGCGGGACGUCCUGCCGGUGGGCUUAGCUCGCAAGGGCGGCCCAACUCAAUCCCGCCGCGGUGCUCUUCACUGAGUGUCGAGGUGGGCCGGCACGUUUACUUUGAACAAAUUAGAGUGCUUAAAGCAGGCUAAAACUUCGCCUGAAUACUGUGUGCAUGGAAUAAUGGAAUAGGACCUCGGUUCUAUUUUGUUGGUUUUCGGAACCCCGAGGUAAUGAUUAAUAGGAACGGAUGGGGGCAUUC